UACGUAGGGGGCAAGCGUUGUCCGGAAUCAUUGGGCGUAAAGAGCGUGUAGGCGGCCCGAUAAGUCCGCCGUGAAAGUCCAGGGCUCAACCCUGGAAUGCCGGUGGAAACUGUCGGGCUGGAGUCCGGAAGAGGCGAGUGGAAUUCCUGGUGUAGCGGUGAAAUGCGCAGAUAUCAGGAGGAACACCUAAGGCGAAGGCAGCUCGCUGGAACGGUACUGACGCUGAGGCGCGAAAGCGUGGGGAGCAAACAGG
rnacentral:rRNA from 1 species